rnacentral:piRNA from 1 species
UGGAAUGGCCUUUUGAAGACGCAGUUACGGCGC